UGAAGCACUUAAUUGGGCCUGGCUUACCAUUUCAGAGGGCGAAUCCAUUAUCCUCAUAUUGAGAGGCAGACAGGCAUGGUACUGUAGAUGAGAACUUUAUACCCUCAUCCACAGGCAGCUGGCAGCAGCCAGAAUGAGAGAGGGGUUGGGGGAGGGGAGAGAGGAGAGACAGACUAGGCCUAGUGUGGAUUUUUGAAACCUCAAAGCCCACUUCCAGCUGCACAGCUCUUUUAACAAGGACACAGCUCCUCCAACAGCCACAGCUCCCAAACACUUCAUCAAAUGGUGAUUUAUCAUGGAAAUAUAUGAGAAUGUAUGAGGUCAUUCUCAUUUAAACUACCAAUCAUGGGAUGGUUGCCUUGUCACAUGGGUGCUGGGAUCUAACUUCAAUUCUCAUGAUUACACAGCCUGGCUGUUCUUGCUAGAUCGUGACACCACUACUGCUAUCCCAACACGAUUGAACUGGACUGCUGGUGUGCCUGUGAAGUGUUUCAGAGUGGACUGAGCUGCUGUUGCUGACCUGUAACCUGAACUGCUGAUUUCCUGACAAUGCAGAUGGCAUUUCCUUCAAAGAACCAUUUCUAAAUAGAUGCCUGGAAAAGAGCUGGCAUUUUAUCGAUAACAAGAAAAGACUAGCUCAAAGAUGCCGCAUGUCAAUGAAGCAGACAGCCCAGCUCCCCACUUCCCACAGGAAUCCCACGAAGAGGAGCUGAGUAUCCAAUUGUAACUGUGGCUUAAGGAUCCAGAUGACAUCUCCAUGAAACCUGUGUCUAUCACUCCAAGCUAUAUGCCCUGGUUUGAGUUGCAUCACAUCCCUGAGGCUGUGAUUACUGAUAAAUAGAAAGGGAGCCUGAAAACAUGGCCUUAAUGGUUAAAAGCAGUAACUGUUCUUGCAGAGGACUCAAGUUAGGUUUCCACCACUCAUGAUGUGAGGCUCACAACUGCCUAUAACGCCAACUAUAGGCACCCAACUACAACUCUUGGCCCCUACAAGCACUGAACUCAAAUAUACCUACCACACAGAGACACAAGCACAUAGACAUAAUAAAUAAUAUUGUAAUGGAAAGAAAUGGUGUGAUUAAAUGAGGGAUACAUAAGCAACCCUUCUGCUAUUUGAACAUGAA